rnacentral:rRNA from 1 species
AGAACGAACGCUGGCGGCAUGCCUAACACAUGCAAGUCGAACGAGACCUUCGGGUCUAGUGGCGCACGGGUGCGUAACGCGUGGGAAUCUGCCCUUGGGUUCGGAAUAACAGCGAGAAAUUGCUGCUAAUACCGGAUGAUGACGUAAGUCCAAAGAUUUAUCGCCCAAGGAUGAGCCCGCGUAGGAUUAGCUUGUUGGUGAGGUAAGAGCUCACCAAGGCGACGAUCCUUAGCUGGUCUGAGAGGAUGAUCAGCCACACUGGGACUGAGACACGGCCCAGACUCCUACGGGAGCAGCAGUGGGAAUAUGGACAAUGGGCGAAAGCCUGAUCCAGCAAUGCCGCGUGAGUGAUGAAGGCCUUAGGGUUGUAAAGUCUCUUUACCGGAUGAUAAUGAC